UUUAAGCAUUUAAGUAGGUGGAGGAAAAGAAACCGAAUGGGAAUCUCUUAGUAAUGGCGAAUGAAAGGAGAUGUGCUUAGUGUCAAAAUCAGAUUACUCUGACUUGUAGGCUGUAGGGGCUUUGCCAACUUGGGUGCAGGUGCAAGUCUCUUGGAAAGGAGCACCAGUGAGGGUCAAGGUCCCGUCUGGCAUCUGUCAUCCCUCGUAGACGGUUUGCCCAUUGAGAGUCGUGUUCUUCUGGAGUAGAGCGCUAAUUGGGUGGUACUCUUUGCCCAAGGAGGAUUACGUGCUUGAGACCAAUAGUGAACAAGUACCAUGAGGGAAGGGUGAAAAGGACUUUGGAAAGAGGGUUAAGAGGGCAUGAAGCUGCUGGAAGGGAAGUGGAUUGGACUUUUACAUCGCAGUAAGAUUGCAGGCUGUGAUUUCCACUCGUGGGACAUCGCGUGCUGUGUCUCUUGCUGCUCGGUUGGGUUUUGCGUUGUGCCCGAAAUCUCAGCUUUGACUGGAAGAAGGUUUGCGAACUGGACCAUGUCAUUGCCAACUUUUGGCGCAGCAUGCAACCUUGACCAAAAGGUUCAAUUUUACCCGUCUUGAAACACGGACCAAGGAGUCUAUUGCGUGUGCAAGUGUAAGGGCUUCACACCUGACAGCUCAACAAAGGUGACUGCUGGGACCUCUGCACCAGCAACCAACUGAUCGCUUAGGAGAUGUUUGUGUAUGAGCACACUUGCUAGGACCCGAAAGGUGGUGAACUAUGCCUGAGAAGGGUGACGUCAGGGGAAACUCUGAUGGAAGCUCGUAGCGCUACUGACGUGCAAAUCGUUCGUCUGACUUGGGUAUAGGGGCGAAAGACUAAUCGAACCAUCUAGUAGCUGGUUCCCUCCGAAGUUUCCCUCAGGAUAGCUGGAGCAGAACAGUUUUAUCAGGUAAAGCGAAUGAUUCGAGGCAUUGGGGGUAUGUUACCCUUGACCCACUCUCAAACUUUUAAUGGGUAAGCUCCACUGGUUGCUUAGGUGACGCAGGGGGAGGAAUAACAGCUCUACGUGGGCCAUUUUUGGUAAGCAGAACUGGCGAUGAGGGAUGAACCUAGCAUUGGGGUAAAGUGCUUGACUGCUCGCUCAUGUGACACCACAAAGGGUGUUGGUUCAUACUGACAGCAGGACGGUGGUCAUGGAAGUUGAAAUCCGCCAAGGAGUGUGUAACAACUCACCUGCCGAAUGGACUAGCCCCGAAAAUGGAUGGCGCUGAAGCGGGUGACUGAUACCCAAUCAUGGCUGCAAGCAUAGUAGCUUUGAGUAGGAGGGCAUGGUGGUUGCAGCGCAGCCCGCUCGUGAGCAAGGGUGAAGGAACUUCCAGUGCAGAUCUUGCGGGGUA
rnacentral:rRNA from 1 species